ACCUGGCUGGCUCAGUGGGUAGAGCAUAGAACUCUGGAUCUCAGAGUUGUGAGUUUAACCCCCAUGUUGGGUA
rnacentral:tRNA from 1 species